rnacentral:rRNA from 1 species
UGCAAGUCGAGCGGAAACGACACUAACAAUCCUUCGGGUGCGUUAAUGGGCGUCGAGCGGCGGACGGGUGAGUAAUGCCUAGGAAAUUGCCUUGAUGUGGGGGAUAACCAUUGGAAACGAUGGCUAAUACCGCAUAAUGCCUACGGGCCAAAGAGGGGGACCUUCGGGCCUCUCGCGUCAAGAUAUGCCUAGGUGGGAUUAGCUAGUUGGUGAGGUAAUGGCUCACCAAGGCGACGAUCCCUAGCUGGUCUGAGAGGAUGAUCAGCCACACUGGAACUGAGACACGGUCCAGACUCCUACGGGAGGCAGCAGUGGGGAAUAUUGCACAAUGGGCGAAAGCCCGAUGCAGCCAUGCCGCGUGUAUGAAGAAGGCCUUCGGGUUGUAAAGUACUUUCAGUUGUGAGGAAGGGGGUAGUGUUAAUAGCGCUAUCUCUUGACGUUAGCAACAGAAGAAGCACCGGCUAACUCCGUGCCAGCAGCCGCGGUAAUACGGAGGGUGCGAGCGUUAAUCGGAAUUACUGGGCGUAAAGCGCAUGCAGGUGGUUCAUUAAGUCAGAUGUGAAAGCCCGGGGCUCAACCUCGGAACUGCAUUUGAAACUGGUGAACUAGAGUACUGUAGAGGGGGGUAGAAUUUCAGGUGUAGCGGUGAAAUGCGUAGAGAUCUUGAAGGAAUAC